UGUGUUUAAUGAUUGUCCACACUUCACAGUCAUAUGACAAUUAAAGAGUAAACUAAUAAGACAACUCAGUUGAUUGGUUAUCUGGUUAUUCAUCUUGUUGAUUAGGUUUAAUUCUCCCGGCUUACAAUCCCCUCAGCUAUUUCCCCUUCCCCUACCCCAGUUUCUUUUUAAAAAAGAAAGAAAAAACUCAUGACUGGCAUUGGAUUGCGAGUUCCAUCAAAUGGGUUAACCUUGCAAUAAGUUUCCACUUAUUCGCUCAAAAUAGGAGUGUUGUCGCAUUUUACGUGUAAGAGGUCCCCAUUUAAGGUGAGUUCUCCCUACCAAAGGAUUUUUCAUACCCCAAGCUCGAACUUGAGAAUUCUAAUUAAGAGAAAAGUAGCCUCAUCCGCCUGCACCACAUCCAUUAGUGGUGUAGAUCAUGAACAUACUUCCUCCCAUUUGGACUAUCUUUAUUGGACUUGGGAUGGCUCAAAGCACAAAUUCGAUUUUGAUUUGACAAGAAAUCGUCCAAUUCCUAUUUGGUUUGUCAAUACUAACUUUUUGAGCUCGUGGAGUGAUGGUUGUGAUCCCUCCACUCUUAAUCCUAUGUCUCAUGUUUGAGCGCCCUGAGCCCCUGACAAUGAAAAUAUUUUCUGUAUGGAGCAUUUUACCCCUCAUAGUGAGCCUACUCGACACGAAUUUGAAUCAGUACUAUAUAUAUAUAUAUUGCAACACAUUUUCACAAGCAUUGGAUGCUACUUGUAACCAGAAAUAACUACUGGUGUAGCAGGAAAUUUGCAACAAAUAAUUUGAAUAGCAACAGGUAUUUACUUAACAAACCUUCUUGCAUCAAUUAAAACAGAACAACGUAGUCGAAGACUCACGGGUUUUGAUUUGUCAAUGUUCAUGUCCCGAGCAAAUGGUGACAAUGUCUGGGAUUCUGAGAUUGGACCAUGGGCAUUUAACGGAUCCAGCAGCAUAAAGUGGCAAUGUGGUGCAGAGAAUGCUGGCAAGGAAUCAAAUGUCAAAGAAACUAGCAGAAGAAAUGGAUGUAUCUUAAAGGCACAUACAUAGAAAAUGUAUGAACUUGCAAAGAACCACAUAAGGAACAACAGGGAAGCAAUCGACAAAUUAAUAGAUGUGGUGCUAGAAAAAGAGACUUUUUCAUGCUUGAUCCUCCUUACUCCUCUAGAAAAGCAUAUGAAUUAACACAUCUUCUUGUUGCACCAAUUCCUGUUCUUACUACUCCUCUGACCUUUCUCCCUAUAACAAUUGAUUUGUUUUCUUUUGAUGCUCUCUUCAAUGAAAAGUAAGUGUUCUUCCCUUGCUUCAA